rnacentral:rRNA from 1 species
CGAACGCUGGCGGCGUGCUUAACACAUGCAAGUCGAACGGAAAGGCCCUGCUUUUGUGGGGUGCUCGAGUGGCGAACGGGUGAGUAACACGUGAGUAACCUGCCCUUGACUUUGGGAUAACUUCAGGAAACUGGGGCUAAUACCGGAUAGGAGCUCCUGCUGCAUGGUGGGGUUGGAAAGUUUCGGCGGUUGGGGAUGGACUCGCGGCUUAUCAGCUUGUUGGUGGGGUAGUGGCUUACCAAGGCUUUGACGGGUAGCCGGCCUGAGAGGGUGACCGGCCACAUUGGGACUGAGAUACGGCCCAGACUCCUACGGGAGGCAGCAGUGGGGAAUAUUGCACAAUGGGCGGAAGCCUGAUGCAGCAACGCCGCGUGCGGGAUGACGGCCUUCGGGUUGUAAACCGCUUUCGCCUGUGACGAAGCGUGAGUGACGGUAAUGGGGAAAGAAGCACCGGCUAACUACGU